GGGCCUAUAGCUCAGUUGGGAGAGCGCUGCGUUCGCAACGCAGAGGUCAUGGGUUCGAAUCCCACUAGGUCCACCA
rnacentral:tRNA from 1 species